UCUAAAGGAUACAAAUUAGACAAACUGUAACAGGAACGUACAACAUGAUGUGCCGGUUUUACCUAAUUCCUUUGGACUUAAGUAUUCACAAUGUAAAUCCAUUGCCACCCCAGAAUUUCCAUCUAUAGGAACCUGCAAGUUACAUUUCCUAGCGUUAUUUUCGGCCAUCCCGGCUUUAUAGUUGUAAAAAGGCCGAAAUCCGAGAUGAAAGGCCAGCCCGUCCGUAUCCCUUGCCUCGCCUCAGCCCCCUGCCGCAGCUCGCCGUUUCCUUUAUCUUCCUUUCUCUAACUCUCCAUACGGCUUUCGCUUUUGCUCUAACACUUGAAGAGAAACACUUCCACCAGCAGCCAAUGGGAAGGAGGAUCAUUCUGAUGUGAAAAACAGAAGGUUUGCUUUCAAAGAUGGACCACCUCACUACUCUUCAGGAACCUAUCCCUGCCAUGCUGUCCUGCCCUGAACAAGAUCUCUUAAAAUGAGCUUUCCUGCAAUCUGAUAUACCUUAUUGGAUGAUAUAUCAGUCAUAUUUCUGCUGCUAAAUUUGGCAGUGUUGGGAAUUCCAUCUUUUAAUACAGCAAUUGGGGUGUGUUUAUGAGUGAAUAGGUUUUCAUUUCAUUUGUUACCCAAGGCUGUGAUAUGUACAGUUUUCAAGAUGUUUCUUACCUUCAAAUGUGCUGUUGGCACUGGACAGAAAACUCUGAAACUGAAGACAAAGGAAAGAAAAAAGUGGUUAAAGACACUUUAAUAGAAUUCAAUAAAAGAAAACGUUAGUGUACA